rnacentral:lncRNA from 1 species
AGCUGGGGGUUGAGGGCUUGUUAAAGUUGUGACCUGUUUUUCUGUCACUUCCCCCUUUCCAGACGUUCAUUGCCAGGGAGCUCCUUUCUGGCACUCAGUAGCUGGCAAGAUCAUCUUUCAAAGUGACCAUGGAAACUUGGCAGGAAACGCUCCCCAAAGCCUGAAUUUCCGUGGUGUCUCAGCUGUGGAGAGUGAGGCAGCUAAGGAGUACUUUGUUACUUCAGUACACUUUGGAGAAACUAAUGUUAAGUGAUCAUCUUUCUUUGCUGUCCUGUGAACCUAUGAAGCCUUCUCUGAGGAGCAGGAAACAGCAGCUUCUUGAGCUCUUCUUUGUGUGGUGCUGACCUGCUGCUGUUCCUGGAGAGAAAUUCUCAGAUAUAUGGCACCCGCAUACCUCCUAGCAAAAAGAAUCAGGAUCCUGGAGGUAAGACUGGAAAAUGCAGAAGAGUAGCCUGCUAGAGAAACAGUGCCUCUUUCUUGGCCUGGGAAAAGGACUCACCAGAUCA